UACAGAGGUCUCAAGCGUUGUUCGGAUUCACUGGGCGUAAAGGGUGCGUAGGCGGCCCGGUAAGUCGGGUGUGAAAUCUCGGGGCUUAACUCCGAAACUACAUUGGAUACUGCCGUGCUUGAGGACUGGAGAGGGGACUGGAAUUUACGGUGUAGCGGUGAAAUGCGUAGAUAUCGUAAGGAAGACCAGUGGCGAAGGCGGGUCCCUGGGCCGAUACUGACGCUGAGGAGCGAAAGCGUGGGGAGCGAACAGG
rnacentral:rRNA from 1 species